AAAAUUUCUGAAAAAAUAUGUAGGCAUUGUAAACGUAUACACUAUUUGAAUCUUUGUUGAGAAUUAUCAGUUGUUUUAAAACAUAAAAAAUAAAUUUUUUUGAAAAAUAUCGGCUUAGGCUUCUCAAUAUUUUGUAAACGCAAAAGAAUAUGCAACAAGACGAUCCAUUGAACGUUUACGUACUACGGAGUUUCACAAGAUUAUUGCCUCUUUUGUUCCGCCCGAACUCAAUAUAAUAAACCUUAACCACCCGAGUGUAUAAGAACGUUUUUUAUUUAUAUUAAACUGGUUUUGACCACUAUCACCGGGAAAAAACAAAGAAAAAAUAUGUUCUUGACCAAGUUCACCAUUUAAUAUUAGUUUUAUUACUUCCAAAGAAGUAUUCCUCGCCGCUAAAAAUAAUUUUAUUAUUUUGUUUUAGUGAUUUCACACAAGCUGGAAAAACUUGAUAGUAAAAUGUGACGUCAAACCGUGAGCUAUUUAUAUGAGUUCAAGUAAUAAGACUUCAAUGGGCGGCAAGGAUGUCAAGGAACUCAAAAAUUGUGACGACUCUGCUAGCUCCAAAAAAGGAAAUGAUGAGCACAAAUAAAAAAUUCAUUUUACAAAUCGGGUUUAGCUAUUUAUAGCUAUCCUCGUCGCUCUUGACACAGCGGCCCAGGGGGCAAUCUUCCUGUAGUCUCUUUAACCAGUACACCUUUGUUUAAGUUUUAAUGAUUUUUAUUUUUAUUUCUCAAAACUCUCUUUUGAAGUAUUUUUCAAUAUAAUGUGUUUUAUAUUUUUAUGAUUCAUCAAAUACAUUUAAUAUUAUGUCAUGAAAGUUUAAUUUUAUUUAAAUUCUUUCCAAGAAUCGACGAAGAA